ensembl:lncRNA
GGUAAUAUUGCAGUUUGGUUUUUGGAUUUACACACAAUCCCAUUUUUCAUGUUGCAAAGCGCAGCAGAAAGCUACACACAACUAACUGAACCAUUGAAGUCAACGUAAAGCAGACCUCACACUAGAACCGAGAACACACGACGUGUUCUCGUACGCGCUGAAGACAAACUGAAACACGUGUGCAAUGCAGCUGCGUGCGUCUGUGUGACUGUGUGGGUAUGUGUUUGCCGCUUGUGUGCGAGAGUGGCAAGAAAGCGCGUGUCGUGUAUAAAAUAGAAGCGAUGCUAUAUGAGAACAUCCAUCCUUAUGGUUGUAAUGUGUGUGUGUGUGUGUGUGUGAGUGAGCGAGACACGCACGCGAAGAUGUAGUGCAAUACUGCUAUGAUGUUAUGCAAUGAAGAUGGUUUUAUGGGUCUAAGAUUUAAACUGUAUAAAGUUUGCACUGACGGCAUUAUAUGCUACAGGUAUCGGCGGGAUAAAGAUGGCGAGCGAAAGCAGGAGGACCCCAUGUCAAGAUUUUAAGAGCAUGUGUUUUGUAUUUACUUAUGAUUUGUUCUGAAUUAAAAGAGUAAAGGUGGAAGUAUCGAUGGAAGUGACCAUUCAUAUUUAUAUUUGUUUACUUUAUGCUCACAUGCUUCUGUUGGCUCGGUUUGGAAUAGCUGAAGCUUGUGAAUGACGACUAUCAAUUUCUGUUUGAAAUACAUAUAUAUAUAUAUAUAUAUAUAUAUAUAUAUAUAUAUAUAUAUAUAUAUAUAUAUAUAUAUAUAUAUGUAUGAUUUAUUCAGAACUGUCACCAGUUGCAUCACCUGUCUGUAUAUUUUUGUAUUUUUUCACAUUGAGAGAACUCUCGGGUCUUGGCCAGAAAUGCUGUAAAUAUGUUGUUGGAGUGCCGUGUGGGUUUAGGUUUUAGCCGUUCACACUGCUGAAUUGGUACAAGUGCAGCAUCCAUCAGAGCCACAGCCCAGUUUCUAACUGCUCAAACACAGAAACGACACACGCAAGGAGAUAUCAGCACGUCCACACACAUGCAUUUAACAUUUACACAUAGAGAGAACUCACGGAAACUACGACACACCGCGACACAUCCAUGAAUUGAACAAUAUGUUUUGGGUUUCUUUAUUUGAGGGUUCAGUGUAUUUCUUAAUAUCUCUCUCAGCCAUCCUUAUCAUAGUGUGAUAUUCCUUAUAAAGUAUAUGAAUUUUUACAGAAAAGACUGAUUACAAAGUUACAACAGAGUCAGCUGAUGCAGAAAAAUAUAUUUAACAAUGACAGUAUCAAGCAAAAUAAAAUGUUCCAGUUCAGUGAAGCGCUUGUUGUAAAUUAGCUAUAAAAUAAUAAAAAUUAAUUUAAAAAAUGCUUUCUG